rnacentral:rRNA from 1 species
AACGGGUGAGUAACACGUGGGCAACCCACCCUUGGUACCGGGAUAGCCCGGGGAAACCCGGAUUAAUACCUGUAUGGCCCAGCAGCCCUUCGGGGCGGCUGGAAAAGGUAGCUUUGGCCUCCGACCAAGGACGGGCCCGCGGCGGAUUAGCUUGUUGGUGGGGUAACGGCUCACCAAGGCGACGAUCCGUAGCUGGUCUGAGAGGACGAUCAGCCACACUGGGACUGAGACACGGCCCAGACUCCUACGGGAGGCAGCAGUGGGGAAUCUUGCGCAAUGGGCGAAAGCCUGACGCAGCGACGCCGCGUGGGGGAAGAAGGCUUUCGGGUUGUAAACCCCUUUCAGGAGGGACGAAGCCACUCGGGUGAAUAGCCCAGAGGGUGACGGUACCUCCAGAAGAAGCCCCGGCUAACUACGU